GUGAUGAAGGGCUCUUAGCGGUUGUAAAGCUCUGUUCUUGACUAACAAACAAAUGAGUCGUCAAGGAGAAAGGACCGGCUAAUUUCGUGCCAGCAGCUGCGGUAAGACGAGGGGUCCAAACGUUGUCCGGAAUUAUUGGGCGUAAAGCGGGUGUAGGUGGUUUUAUAAGUCAGAAGUGAAAGCCUUAGGCUCAACCUAAGAAGUGCUUUUGAUACUGUAGAACUUGAGUUUGGAAGGGGGCAAUGGAAUUCCUAGUGUAGUGGUGAAAUGCGUAGAUAUUAGGAGGAAUACCGGAGGCGAAGGCGGUUGCCUGGUCCAAAACUGACACUGAGAUCCGAAAGCGUGGGGAGCAAACAGGAUUAGAUGCCCUGGUAGUCCACGCCGUAAACGAUGGACACUUGAUGUUGAUGGAUUUGACCCCAUCAGUGUCGUAGCUAACGCGUUAAGUGUCCCGCCUGGGGAGUACGAUCGCAAGAUUAAAACUCAAAGAAAUCGACGGGGGCCCGCACAAGCGGUGGAGCAUGUGGUUUAAUUCGAUGAUACGCGAAAAACCUUACCUAGGUUUGACAUCCAGAGGAAGAUUCCUUGGAAA
rnacentral:rRNA from 1 species